AUUGAACGCUGGCGGCAUGCUUUACACAUGCAAGUCGAACGGUAACAGGUUAAGCUGACGAGUGGCGAACGGGUGAGUAAUGCAUCGGAACGUGCCCGGUCGUGGGGAAUAACGCAGCGAAAGCUGCGCUAAUACCGCAUACGAUCUGAGGAUGAAAGCGGGGGACCGUAAGGCCUCGCGCGAUCGGAGCGGCCGAUGUCAGAUUAGGUAGUUGGUGGGGUAAAGGCUCACCAAGCCGACGAUCUGUAGCUGGUCUGAGAAGACGACCAGCCACACUGGGACUGAGACGCGGCCCAGACUCCUACGGGAGGCAGCAGUGGGGAAUUUUGGACAAUGGGCGCAAGCCUGAUCCAGCAAUGCCGCGUGCAGGAAGAAGGCCUUCGGGUUGUAAACUGCUUUUGUACGGAGCGAAAAGGCUCUCUCUAAUACAGGGGGCUCAUGACGGUACCGUAAGAAUAAGCACCGGCUAACUACGUGCCAGCAGCCGCGGUAA
rnacentral:rRNA from 1 species